rnacentral:rRNA from 1 species
GACGAACGCUGGCGGCGUGCUUAACACAUGCAAGUCGAACGGAAAGGCCCUGCUUUUGUGGGGUGCUCGAGUGGCGAACGGGUGAGUAACACGUGAGUAACCUGCCCUUGACUUUGGGAUAACUUCAGGAAACUGGGGCUAAUACCGGAUAGGAGCUCCUGCUGCAUGGUGGGGGUUGGAAAGUUUCGGCGGUUGGGGAUGGACUCGCGGCUUAUCAGCUUGUUGGUGGGGUAGUGGCUUACCAAGGCUUUGACGGGUAGCCGGCCUGAGAGGGUGACCGGCCACAUUGGGACUGAGAUACGGCCCAGACUCCUACGGGAGGCAGCAGUGGGGAAUAUUGCACAAUGGGCGGAAGCCUGAUGCAGCAACGCCGCGUGCGGGAUGACGGCCUUCGGGUUGUAAACCGCUUUCGCCUGUGGCGAAGCGUGAGUGACGGUAAUGGGUAAGGAAGCACCGGCUAACUACGUG